rnacentral:rRNA from 1 species
GGAAGUUUCGGAGUGGAAGUUAAGAACUUAGUGGCGGACGGGUGAGUAACGCGUGGGUAACCUGCCUCAGUACAGGGGGAUAACAGUUAGAAAUGACUGCUAACACCGUCAUAAUAUAGCGAAACCGCAUGAUUUUGCUAUCAAAUAUUUAUAGGUAUGAGAUGGGCCCGCGUCUGAUUAGCUAGUUGGUGGGGUAAAGCCUACCAAGGCGACGAUCAGUAGCCGGCUUGAGAGAGUGACCGGCCACAUUGGGACUGAGACACGGCCCAAACUCCUACGGGAGGCAGCAGUGGGGAAUAUUGGACAAUGGGGGAAACCCUGAUCCAGCGAACCGCCGCGUGAGUGAAGAAGUAUUUCGGUAUGUAAAGCUCUAUCAGCAGGGAAGAUAAUGACAGUACCUGACUAAGAAGCCCCGGCUAACUACGUGCCAGCAGCCGC